AAUAAUAAUUAAUUAAAUUAUUACUUAAGUGAGUUAACCCAUUUAACAACUCAACCCAUCAAAUUAAAUGAGUUAUAGGUUGACCAACCCAUUUAACAAAAUGGGUUAGUCAACCUAUAACUCAUUUAACCCUAAACUCAUUUGAUUAUGAGUUGAGUUGAGUUGGGUUUACCUAUUUUGACACCCCUAAUUAUACAUGGUAUAGAAGCAAUCAAUAUUGCGAUCGCUUAAACAUUCUUGA
rnacentral:sRNA from 1 species